UAGCCAUUUCGACCGUGCCACAACGAUGCCGACAGCUCUCUUUGCCACCCCUACAACGUGCUUGUUCAAGCAGCUCCUUUUCUUUCAGGUUUUGUGCUUAGAAAGAGUGACAUGAUGCAGGAUGGAGUUGCGAGGAGUUCCCGGACACGGUCAGAGAUGGCUGGAACAGUCGGAUGGAUUUGCAAUCAUGCAAUAAAUGCCCACAUAAGACGCCAUGGUCAAAUGGUUGGAGAUCGUUGAGAGUUUGCAGCUAUUGAUGAAAGUUGUUUCCUUAAUAAAAGCAAGUAUCACCACAGAAGGGCCGGUGCAACAUGGCGACGGAAAAAGUGGGUAUUAAGAAUAUUAGGAGUAGGUGACCGCCAGAAACAUCCUGUCUUGUGGCUGGUGUGGUUAAACAAGUGCGUCCGGGAACCACCGUCAUCAGUGACCAAUGGGGCACUU